CCGAAAUUCCCAACAAGUUUCGGUCAACAAGCCGUCUAAUUAGAAGGUAAACAAGUUAGACAGCUCCAAUAAAAACUGCCUUCAAUCGGCCACUUGACUGAUUCCUGGAAUAACAGAGAUUGCAUUCUUUCGUUAAAAAAGGAGGAAACAAACAAAUAUGAAAACAGAAGAGGUUUAAUUUGUUAGAUAUUUUUAAAUUUAAAAAAUAUAUAAUAAAUAUAUUAUAUAUUACAAUUAAAAUUAAUAAAUGUGCUGGUUCAAUUGAUUUGAUUUGAAAUAUUACAACUCUUUGAACAAAAAAGAUCUAUCCGGACAAUGAAUGUAUUGACGAGGCUUAAAAGUAAUUGAACUGAUUCAAAUUGAUAAAAUUAUUGGAUGAAUCAUUACAAUGAUUCGACAUAUCCUUUUAAAGGAAUAUAUCCCUAAUAUUUAAACAUCUUUCCAAAGGAACGCAUCUCUUCAAAAGGAUAUGAAUCUUUUCAAAAGAGUUCUUGAAAACCUAUAAAUAAAGAGAACUGUUAAAUCCACAACAAAAAAUAUUAUUUCCACAACAAAAGUGUCAUUAUAGAUCAUAUAGCUACAGUUUUCACCGUCGCUAUACAUCUACAGCGACACUUUUAUUGUGAAAAUAACAAAAAAUAUUGUGAAUUUAACAAUUCCCUAAAUAAAUUAUAAAUCCACUCAAGUUUGAUACUUAAAAUCUUUUCAAAUCCUUCUCAAGCUCUUAGAAAAAAUAUCAUUCUAAUAUUUUUUCUUACUAUAAUUUUUUUCUCUCAUUUAUAGUUUUGCACUAGAUUUAUUUUUACACAACAAAUUCUAGUAUAGAGUAGUAAAAUCUAAGUAUGUCUUAUCUUAAAAUAAGACUAAUUCACAAUAAUCAUAUGUAACAAAAAUAAGGAACAAAUAUAAUCUGAAGAAAAGAGUAAUUAAGCAUUCGAUUCAGACGAUGAUAUUAUUAUUCUACAUUAAAUUAUGAAACAGGUUACAACAUAAUUUCCUAAAUUUUAUAAUUUUGACUUUAGGUAAAAUUCAAUGAUACAGUGAAAAAAUAGAAUUUGCAUUAACUACUACUGACAACUAGGUUAGACGGCUGCCAACAAACCAUAACACUUGCAAAGAAUAACAUAUUAAGAAAGUGACCAACCAUAUACAAAAUAAAUAAUAAUAAAUAAAUAAAUAAAAUUUCCAAAGAGCUAUAUAAUAGAAAAAGCACUUGAGGAUAAGACUAGAUUCAUUAAAGGUUCAAGAAAAUGCUGUUACUUUGCUUUACACAUCCUCCCAUGUUUCUUUGCAUUUUAACUUCUCCAAACAAAAACAAAAAUAAAAAUAAUAAUAAAAUUACAUUUUAUUCUUGUUUAUAUAGUUUUAUUUGUCAUAGUCAUAUCUCUAUUCUUCUAUAUUUAUUGUCUCACCCAGGAUCUUUCACCUGUCAAGCAUAACCUUAAUAUUAAUUCCCUUGACUUUGGCCACUAACCAUUCUCUCACCUCAUCUUACCUUUUCACUUUUUUAACUCCCAAUAUAAUCUCAUAAUUAAGUACAUCAUUCACUAUUACAAUCAAACCUCUAGAGUGGGAAGAAAUAAACUCACAACCUUUUUUUUUUGAAGCCCCAAUAUAAUCUCAUAAUCAAAUACAUCAUUCACUAUACAACAUCAUGAAUCAAUCAAACCUACUAAAAAGAAAACAAGCAAACUCACAAACAAAGAGGAAACAAACUUCAUAUAAUAAAAGAAAUAAACUCACCAAAGUGAGAAUCGAAUUGAGAGCUAGUCUAUAGGUCACAAUACCUCGGUCAGAACUAGUCUAUAGGUCACAAUACCUCAGUCUUAACUACUAGUUAAUGAUAAGACGUCAUCAACUGUCUCAUCUUACUUGUAUACAUAUUCCAAUUCUUUUUUCCCACAAAAAUAGUGACAGAUAGUAUAAAUGACACAAAGUUUUUAAAUUUAUUAUCAUAAUUCAACUAAGCGAUCCUUGUAAAUUAGCAAUUAAUUAUUUUAGGAUACACACGAAACAAAAUAUAUCCUUAGUAUUUGCAAAUUUCUAUAUUCAAGUAAGAGAGUAUUUUGGACACGAGACAAACACCUCACUUACUCUUAUUAUAGAGACUCUUGCCAUGCUUUGGGUUGGCUAGCUGAAAUACAACCUCAAGUUUCAGUCUUUAGCAGCUCUUGGAUUGGCAAAAAUGGCUAGCCUUGGCAAGUUUCUCUUUCUUCAACUUGUUCCACCCUCCCUUUGAUCCCCUAACAAAACCCCCAAAAGAAUUAAAUCGCUAAAAAUCUUGACUUUUAAAUGUCAUUUUCCCAAGUAUUAUGUGUAAGAAAAUUGGUUAUAAAGCAACCUAAUAUAAUUAAGUAUUAUUUGUUAAGAUAAUGUUAUCUUCAAAGCAUGCAAGUGGUAAUAACAUUCUACUAUUUUAGUGUCCAUGUACCAGUUUUUACACGCAUACACCUAAACAGAGAACUAAGAUACAAGAGAAAAUUAAAGGGGCUCCUUUCCCUUUAACAUAAUUUCAAUAUAUAUUUUUUAUAAGUCCUUUAAAAUUUUAGUAAAUAUACAGAAAUAGUCAAAUGGGCUAAAAUAUGCAGGCUAUGGCAGUUGUCACUAUAUGUAUCGUACAAUUUUAUCCGAUUUUCCAUCUUUUGGGAUAUUUCAAAUAGCAAGACCUUUCCUUCUAAUCCUUUUAAUUAAGCUAAUAGAAAAAUUACAUCUUACUCUUAUCACAUUCAACAGUCUCCCUCAAGGCCUGACUUCAUUAGAAAUAGAUGACAUUUUUAACCAUAUGCCAUAAUCCCAAUCCUUCCAAAUAAUCCCUAGGAUUUGUUAUCCUUUUCACGAAAGAAAAUAACACAAUGAAUUCGAUGAAAACAAUGUAUAGGCAAUUAAAAUAUGCGUUUAUUCAUAGAAAAUAAAUUUAAAAUGGUUGUAGUCUCAAUCACAGACAAAAUUAAGAAUGGUAAUCAUCGUUGUACUGUUUGAAAGGCUUUUCACCCUGCUACCAUUUCCUGUCUUCUAUGGGGAUAAUAAUCUCUUAGACUUUAGUGCCAUUGGAUAGAGAGUCCCUCUAUAUGUUGCGACGAAAAAUAUGUCGACUCUAGACACAUACCUGGGCAAAUAAAUGUCUACUCGCAACAAAAGUCGACAUAUUUUUUCUCGCAAUUUAAAUAUUUUCCAUAGGAUAGAUUCUAAUAAAAUGUGAAUGGGUAUUGGUAAAUGAUUAACUCAAUAAAUAAUUCAACAAUGAUAAGCCAAAACUUAUAUUUGAAACCAAUCUUUUUAUAAGAUUUUGGAUUAGGUAACAAUCAGGUAGCGAGUUACAAUGAAGUUGGUAGGGUAAGGAUGCAUUAUGAUGGAGUUUAGAAUCUGUAAUCUUGACUUGGAUUCCCCAGCAGGCCGAAAGAGUUUAUCUGUCUAGUUUGUUUUUAGACUGAAAAUUUUAUGACUUUCACCAAGUAUAUGUUCCAAAAAUAUUGGGCUUUCCUCUAAAUUUGUUGAAAACAAGGUGCACAAUAUUAGGUAACACACAAGGAAAUCAACUAAUAGUAGUUAGAUUAGUAAUUAACAAUAAAAGAGAAGUAUUUUAAACAUAUAGACUAUUUAGCAACUUGUUGCCAUACAAGUUCAGCUUGUAUAUUCAUUUUUUCAACAAAUUCUACAUAAAUACCAGGGAUUCACAUUGUUUUAAGAAAAACACAAACAACCAAAAUCAAAACAAAACAAAAAACAGAGCUUGUAAUGUAAUAUCGACCUAUCCAUAUAAAGUCGUUCAAUAGAUGCAAAUAUAUAUAUAUAUAUAUAUAUAUAUAUAUAUGAAUUCUUGGUAGCAGCUAGAUAUAAAUAAAUCAGCUCAGUUUGUUGGGAUCAUGUCUAGAGGUGCACUAACUUCAUGUCCUAAUGUACAUAAUUUAAGCAUUUCAUUUAAAAGUCACUUGCCCCACAACAAAACUCUGGAAGAUUUGACGAUUCCCAUAAUACUCCACUUAAUGCAGAAAUAGAAUACAAAUAUUCAGAUUCACUAACAUAUAAUUCUGACACCAGUGAAGUGAGAAGCAAAAACCCAAGGGUUGUUCAGAUAUGAACAACAUUCUUUAUUACCAAUACUCUAACCAAACACCAAUCAAAAACACUUGUACUAUCAUAAGGUUAGAUGAUGGUUUUUAGUUAUGAAGUUAAAUAUUCUUACCACCGUACACAAGAUUCAAUCAGGAGAAAGUAUAUCUUGCUCUAUUCGUUUAGAACAAUAAAUAAAACACGUCAUAACAAAAAGACGUCUAGACAAAUUAUUGCACUAACUAUAAACAGACAUCUAAAUAAAUUAUUGCAUUAACGUUAAGAAGAAAGACAUAAAUAUCAAAUGUUCAAAUAAGGAAAAAUAAUUCGGCAGCAAAUUCCAGGUAUUUGUAUUGGCUCUUUUCUGUUAUUCACAAUGACAUGUGUUCUCCUCCAUAAACCUUGGCUUGGAUAAAACAAUGACACGGCAUGAAUAGAGCUGAGAGAAGCAUCUUCAUGUGCUAUUUCUCUUUCAUUUUCAAAGAUUAGAUUAAGUCGAUAUGACCAUGGCCUGAUAAAGGACAAGUCCUUUAAUUAAUAAGACUAAAACACAUAUUAUACUCAAGUAAUAUGUCCUUUAAUUAAUAAGACAAACACAUUAUAUUUAAGUAAUAUUCUAAUAUUCUCACUAUGAUCUAAUGCUUCUAAGCAUGCAAGAGAUUAUUUUCACAUGAUAACAUUAGCCUUCGGAUGAUAUAUAACCAUCAUCGUCAGAAACUUAAUUUAGUUAACUAAUAUUACUAGGCGGUCAUUAUUAGUAAAAAGAGAAGAUUUCAUUUAACUACUUUUAAAAGUGAGCAGUUACAAAUAAGUCUCAUUAGAUCAAUAGUAUUUAAUUAUUAUUAGAAAAUAUAUUUCGAGUAAUAAACGUGUUAUGCUCUACACUGCCAGCCACUUCAAUGUGAACCCAGAAAGUUUCUUCCUUGUUUCCUGCAAUGAAUGUCACAACUGGAUUUUAUUUUUGCUGUUGUCAAAAUGAUCUCAAAAGUAACUUAUAUUUUUGUUCCCAGAGGCCAGAACUUUUACAGAAAAAAAAAGAUAAUCUUUUAGAAUUACUUUGCGGUCAUUUUCUUUUAAAUGUAAAACCCAAUUGUGACAUUCAUUGUAGAACAAGGUGGUAUUUCACAAUUUUCUCCUAAAACAAUAUUUUAAGAAGAAAAAGUUUUACCAAAGUAAAUGAGUAGAGCAUAAUAUGUAUUUCGAUACUGUACAUGUAAUACAAAUUAAUACCAUGGUAGAGACAAGGGGGCAUGUACAUAGACGAAUGUCAGUUCCAACAAGUAAAUCAAAAGGUUUCUUUCGUAAUCCAAUUCCUAAGUGUCUUUGCGAACUAAUCAUAUGUUUUUGAUUAUCAACUUAAAAAAUGUCAACAUCUAAAUGAGCUCCCCACCUUAUAAUGCCUCCAACACUGUUUAAGCAAGAAUACACCUACUGUGCUCAAUAUAACCAGCGCUCCUCCCUUAUAGUCCUUCCCCUUCUCUUCCAAUCAUCUCCUUUCACCCAAAGGAGACAAUUUGACCAUGGAGAUAGAACAAAUUUCCAGUUGUCAUUACCCCCCAGGUUUCAGAUUCCACCCCUCAGAUGAAGAGCUGAUCGUUCACUACUUGCUGAAAAAACUCAGUUCGUGUCCGCUGCCAGCCGAUGUAGUUGCUGAAAUAGAACUUUACAACUACAACCCAUGGGAGCUUCCCAGUUAGUUAUCUAUUAUCUAUAAGCUUAUUUAGAUGGUAUUACUUUUAUUUUCUUCCUCUUAUGAUUAUUAUUAUUUCUGAAUUUCAGACAAGUCAUUGUUCGGAGAAGAUGAGUGGUAUUUCUUCACCCCGAGGGACCGAAAGUACCCGAAUGGAGAGAGGCCUAAUAGGACAGCAUCUUCAGGUUAUUGGAAGGCAACUGGGACAGACAAGCCUAUACUCAGUGCUUCUGGAUCAAGAAGCAUUGGAGUGAAGAAGGCUCUCGUUUUUUACAAGGGUCGUCCUCCGAAGGGCUUAAAGACGGAUUGGAUCAUGACAGAGUACAGAUUGCCUGACACCAUGACUCGAUCGGCGAGGUCAAAAGGGUCCAUGAGGGUAAGUAUGUGCCUUGAUGUUUGUUCAUUAUAAACUGUUUCUCAUUAAGAGGAACAGAAAGUAAAGAUUUUUUUUAGGCUAACUAAAUAACUUGUGUUAUUGGAACACAGAUCAUUCCUGAAACAAAUGUUACUUCUAUAUCGAAACAUGUUAAAACCAACUUAACAAUAUAAGAUUUGUCAAUGAACCUAGUUAUACUGAAGGCACUAUGUAAGAAUAGAAUAAGCUUUUGAUCAGUAUGUUCUUGUUUUUUAUAAUCUUUCAACCCCAUAUGAUGCUCCCUCAAUUCUUUUCGACAAACGCCGUAUCAUCAUUGAAGAUUUGAAAAUUAUCUUCUACUUGUUUUUGUGCAACAAAAGUUUACACAUCUACAUAGGUUAACAGAUAAUAUAUAUGAUCUGCAACAAAAGUUACUUCUAUAUCGAAUCAUGUUAGACCAACUCAACAACAUAAGAUUUGUCAAUUAACCUAGUUAUACUGAAGGCACUAUGUGAAUAGAAUAAGCUUUUGAUCAAUAUGUUCUUGUUUUUCUUAAUCUUUCAACCCCAUAUGAUGCUCCCUCAAUCGUUUUCAACAAACACCGUAUCAUCAUUGAAGAUUUGAAAAUUAUCUUCUACUUGGUUUUGUGCAACAAAAGUUUACACAUCUACAUAGGUUAACAGAUAAUAUAUCCUGCCAUGGAGGAUGAAAAACACUUGAACCAUAUAUCUAUUUAGGGUUAGUCUAGAUUCUAGGGUGCCACCCUUCUCACCUCCCUUGAAGCUGUGAAACGUCACUAGUUCACAAACCAACGAUCUCACCAAUUGAACAAAAAGAUAAUCAGAUGCCAAAAUAAUACUCCCUUGGUCCAGAAUACAGAUAUGAGAGUCUCACUUGACUUUACUUCUUUUUAUGGAUAUUUAGGUUGCCUAGAACACACUUGGACAUGAUUUUCUUGGAAUGUUUUCUAUAUAUGUAUAUAUUAAAUUUGAAGAUUAGAAAGGGAAAAAAUAUAUGAAAUGGGAACUAAUUUCCGGAGGAAGUAUAGCACAUGAUAAUCACUUCCCCUCAUAGAGGUAGUAAACUGAUUAUACCUUCCCCAAAGCCGGAGACUUGCAACCUCCUAAAAGUCUGUACUUCAAGUCUUCAACUAAGUUUCACAAGAAGAAGAUUAUGUCAUCAUGUAUCCCCCUAAAGUAAUCAAUUGAUAAGAUCAAUCUUGACUACUAACAUCUGCAUCAUCAUCUUCUUCUUCAACAUCACACUAAUUAUUAAGCACUAAACAUAAAAUAACUGAUUCCAAUAAAGUAAUCGAUCAAUAAAAUCAAUCUUCAUUCCUAAAUAAUUCUCUGUUUGUUUGUCGCAGUUAGACAAUUGGGUACUUUGUCGCAUACGUCAAAAAGGCAACAUGUCAAAGAAUAAUUGGGCAGGCGAUGAAAGCCCCAGCAGAUCGGUAAAUUUUUUACCAAAAAUUGAGGAGCUCCCUUCAGCAUACACUAAAACCAACACAGAGAUCAUGUCAAAGAAUAAUUGGGCAGGCGAUGAAAGCCCCAGCAGAUCAGUAAUUUUUUUACCAAAAAUCGAGGAGCUCCCUUCAGCAUACACAAAAUCCAACACAGAGAUCACUACAGAUUACCUAUUGAAGGAUUGCCAUAUAUUGGCAUCCAUGCUAGCUUGUCAAGAUCUUCCUCCAAUCGAAAACAUUUCCAAUGCAACCUUUCCACGAAGAAACUACAGCAACAACUCAGGGUCAGGUCUUUAUGAUCAUACUUCAGGCAAGGAGAAUUCUUUCAUGACAAGUUCUUUCUAUGAGAGUUUCUUCAACCCAACCAAGGCAAGACUUAACGAGGGAAAUAGGUUUGAUAAUCUCAUUGGUUCUAAUAAGAUGGUGACAGAUAUAAACGGAAAUGAGGUUCUUAUCCCAGGAAACAUGAUGACCACUACCGCAAUGAACUUCUAUAAUCAAAAUCAGGCUCAAGGAAACAUAUUUAAUCCUAGUCAAUCGGAUGUCAUCAUGAAUUUAAUCCUGUCUCAAGAAGAUUUCUGAACCAAUGGAACAACCUCUUAAAGAAGACUUGGCUUCACAAAAGAGCAGACAAGACAUCCAAGUUGAAGUUUGUUUAAGAUACUUUUUAAGACGUGCAGAAAUGGUUCUUGCUCCACCAGACUAAAAACCACUAAUAUUCUGCAUUACAUUUACUUUUGUCAUCCUUUAAAGUCGCUUGAUGUUUCAUGAAUCCUUACAUUCUUGUUUUAUGUGUGAGAACUUAUAUCUAUGAAUAAUGUCUUAUAUUGUGUGCUAAAUUAAGUUUGCAACUCUGAAAUUUUGAGAACAAAUGUUUCUGCACCCAGUAAUGAGUAAUAACAUCUGAAAGUCUAUUCCAUGUUCUUUUCAAUCAUGUAAAUUUCCUUCCUGAAUAUAUGUUUCAUAUUCCUAACAUUUAAAGGUUAGUGAGAGGAACUCUGUCAGUCACUAGUUCACUACUCGUGAUACCUAAACACGCCAAAUGUAUGGUAAAGUAAACCAGAAGUAGUCAAGUAGAGAAGCCACUCCCAAUUGUUGCGGGAUGACAAACCCGAGAAAACCACUACACAAACAAGUUUGUACUAAAUACAUAGACUACUACAAUUUCCUGUAAACGCAAUAAGCCCAUCGUGUGUUUUAACCAGUUGUUAAAGAACAAAUUAGGACAAGGACAACACACAUAGUAAAAUCAGUUCAAGCCUAAGAGAUUAAUUUGUCCAUUGUCAUUGCCUAUAAAACACCGAAUAAUUGAUUUUAUUUUCAAAUAAUAUAUUUUAUGUUCAUAAAUUGAUUGAUUCUGACUUUCUCAUAAAAUAAAUUUUCUUACUUUCACACUAAUACUGAAAGGGCAAAUCCCAAAACUAUAUCCUCCAGUAUAAACUCAGCCAUCUGCAUCCCUAGGCCUUAAGAUUUAAAUAGGCAAAACAGUAAAUUAAAGAAUAAUCUAACACUAUUAAACAAAUAUUUCAGCUAUAAGUAUUUUAAUCCUUCAAUGAUUACUACUCAAUAAAUUAUUAAAAGCAUAACAUAACUCCAAUUUCCAUAGUAAACUCAGCUAAUUGUCGGUAUUACUAAAAAAAUCAACAUAUUUUAAUCACCCUGCUACUAAAAUUUACCUGAGCUUCCAUUCUCUGUUCAAUCCACCAUUUUCGGAAAAAAUGAUCCCAAAUUCACUUCUAAACCACCGGAAUUUCUUCUCCGAUUCGUUUUCUCCAUUGAUGCAUGUCUUUCGCUUAUUAUUCACAUUUCUUUUCCUUUUUCGUUGAUUCUUCAGGGUUUGUUCGUCUUGAAUAAGCUCCGAUUGUUCAUUCCUAUCAUUCACCGAUAACAGAAGUACGAUUGCAGCGAUUGCUUAAGUACAACGUUGGAUCUAAUUUUCCUCUCCUCUCUCGUUUUGUUUCUUAUUUUCCUAAAUAUUUCUUCCAAAUUUAGCUUCACAUAUAAAGAUUUGGCAUUGCUCAAUUAUCAGUUUUUAUUUACUCAGUCGCACAGAAAUAGUCACAUUUAC
rnacentral:lncRNA from 1 species